GUUUGAUCCUGGCUCAGGACGAACGCUGGCGGCGUGCCUAAUACAUGCAAGUCGAGCGAGCAAUUUUAACAGAAUACCUUCGGGUAGGAAGAUAAAAGCGCGAGCGGCGGAUGGGUGAGUAACACGUGGGCAACCUGCCCUUUAGCCUGGGAUACCACUUGGAAACAGGUGCUAAUACCGGAUAAGAAGUAAGAACGCAUGUUCAAGCUAUGAAAGGCGGCUUUAAAGCUGUCACUAAAGGAUGGGCCCGCGGAGCAUUAGCUAGUUGGUAAGGUAACGGCUUACCAAGGCGAUGAUGCAUAGCCGAGUUGAGAGACUGAUCGGCCACAUUGGGACUGAGACACGGCCCAAACUCCUACGGGAGGCAGCAGUAGGGAAUCUUCCACAAUGGACGCAAGUCUGAUGGAGCAACGCCGCGUGAGUGAAGAAGGUUUUCGGAUCGUAAAGCUCUGUUGUUGGUGAAGAAGGACAAGGAUAGUAACUGAUUUUUGUUUGACGGUAAUCAACCAGAAAGUCACGGCUAACUACGUGCCAGCAGCCGCGGUAAUACGUAGGUGGCAAGCGUUGUCCGGAUUUAUUGGGCGUAAAGCGAACGCAGGCGGGAAGAUAAGUCAGCUGUGAAAGCCCUCGGCUCAACCGGGGAAGUGCAGCUGAAACUAUAUUUCUUGAGUGCAGAAGAGGAGAGUGGAACUCCAUGUGUAGCGGUGGAAUGCGUAGAUAUAUGGAAGAACACCAGUGGCGAAGGCGGCUCUCUGGUCUGUAACUGACGCUGAGGUUCGAAAGCAUGGGUAGCGAACAGGAUUAGAUACCCUGGUAGUCCAUGCCGUAAACGAUG
rnacentral:rRNA from 1 species